UUUAUACGUCGAAUUUUGGUCGCGUCGAAUGCAAUUAAGACAAUAGAUAAUGAGAUGAUAAACCUCAUUUAAUAAUUAAGCUUCAUCAUCAAUUGUUUGAAUUGCAUUCGACGAGGCCGAAAUUCGACGUAUAAA